AGAGUUUGAUCCUGGCUCAGGAUGAACGCUAGCUACAGGCUUAACACAUGCAAGUCGAGGGGAAACGAUAGGGAAAGCUUGCUUUCCCUAGGCGUCGACCGGCGCACGGGUGAGUAACGCGUAUCCAACCUGCCCAUGUCUGGGGAAUAACCCGUCGAAAGGCGGACUAACUCCCCAUGGUCUCCGAUGAGGACAUCUGAAUUGGAGUAAAGCUUCGCGGACAUGGAUGGGGAUGCGUCUGAUUAGGUAGUAGGCGGGGUAACGGCCCACCUAGCCUACGAUCAGUAGGGGUUCUGAGAGGAAGGUCCCCCACAUUGGAACUGAGACACGGUCCAAACUCCUACGGGAGGCAGCAGUGAGGAAUAUUGGUCAAUGGACGAGAGUCUGAACCAGCCAAGUAGCGUGCAGGAUGACGGCCCUAUGGGUUGUAAACUGCUUUUGCGCGGGGAUAACACCCUCCACGUGCUGGAGGUCUGCAGGUACCGCGCGAAUAAGGACCGGCUAAUUCCGUGCCAGCAGCCGCGGUAAUACGGAAGGUCCGGGCGUUAUCCGGAUUUAUUGGGUUUAAAGGGAGCGUAGGCCGUGAGGUAAGCGUGUUGUGAAAUGUAGGCGCCCAACGUCUGCACUGCAGCGCGAACUGCCCCACUUGAGUGCGCGCAACGCCGGCGGAACUCGUCGUGUAGCGGUGAAAUGCUUAGAUAUGACGAAGAACCCCGAUUGCGAAGGCAGCUGGCGGGAGCGUAACUGACGCUGAAGCUCGAAAGCGCGGGUAUCGAACAGGAUUAGAUACCCUGGUAGUCCGCGCGGUAAACGAUGGAUGCCCGCUGUGGCGCGCCUGGCGUGCCGCGGCUAAGCGAAAGCAUUAAGCAUCCCACCUGGGGAGUACGCCGGCAACGGUGAAACUCAAAGGAAUUGACGGGGGCCCGCACAAGCGGAGGAACAUGUGGUUUAAUUCGAUGAUACGCGAGGAACCUUACCCGGGCUUAAAUUGCAAAGGAAUAAUCUGGAAACAGAUUAGUCUUCGGACCUUUGUGAAGGUGCUGCAUGGUUGUCGUCAGCUCGUGCCGUGAGGUGUCGGCUUAAGUGCCAUAACGAGCGCAACCCCUCUCCGUAGUUGCCAUCGGGUUAUGCCGGGCACUCUGCGGACACUGCCACCGUAAGGUGUGAGGAAGGUGGGGAUGACGUCAAAUCAGCACGGCCCUUACGUCCGGGGCCACACACGUGUUACAAUGGGCGGUACAGAAGGCAGCUACCUGGCGACAGGAUGCCAAUCCCUAAAGCCGCUCUCAGUUCGGACUGGAGUCUGCAACCCGACUCCACGAAGCUGGAUUCGCUAGUAAUCGCGCAUCAGCCACGGCGCGGUGAAUACGUUCCCGGGCCUUGUACACACCGCCCGUCAAGCCAUGAAAGCCGGGGGUACCUGAAGUGCGUAACCGCAAGGAGCGCCCUAGGGUAAAACCGGUAAUUGGGGCUAAGUCGUAACAAGGUAGCCGUACCGGAAGGUGCGGCUG
rnacentral:rRNA from 1 species